rnacentral:lncRNA from 1 species
GGGGGGGAGGGAGGGGGCCCCGAGGCGCCGCUCUCCGGCGGCGCCCUCGCGGGUGGCGGACUCGCCGCUGCCCCGUGUCGGUCCCCCACGCGUUCGUGUCGUCCCCUCCGCCGUCUGCAGCGCUUAGCGUGUGUUUUUACCUAGAGUUUACGUUUUCCGUGUGGCUGCGGGGAGGGGACCCGUUCUUCCUCCCUCGGGCUGAAGAGUCACGUUGCUUUUUCCUCAGGCAUCCACUUCUCCCGAGAGUUGGAGAAUCAACUCAGCCUGUUGACUUCACUGUCAUCAGCUAG